UACGGAGGGGGCUAGCGUUGUUCGGAAUUACUGGGCGUAAAGCGUACGUAGGCGGCUUUGUAAGUUAGAGGUGAAAGCCCGGAGCUCAACUCCGGAAUUGCCUUUAAGACUGCAUCGCUUGAAUCAUGGAGAGGUUAGUGGAAUUCCGAGUGUAGAGGUGAAAUUCGUAGAUAUUCGGAAGAACACCAGUGGCGAAGGCGACUAUCUGGACGGUUACUGACGCUGAGACACGAAAGCGUGGGUAGCAAACAGG
rnacentral:rRNA from 1 species